GAUGAACGCUGGCGGCGUGCCUAAUACAUGCAAGUCGAGCGAACAGACGAGGAGCUUGCUCCUCUGACGUUAGCGGCGGACGUGUGAGUAACACGUGGAUAACCUACCUAUAAGACUGGGAUAACUUCGGGAAACCGGAGCUAAUACCGUAUAAUAUAUUGAACCGCAUGGUUCAAUAGUGAAAGACGGUUUUGCUGUCACUUAUAGAUGGAUCCGCGCCGCAUUAGCUAGUUGGUAAGGUAACGGCUUACCAAGGCAACGAUGCGUAGCCGACCUGAGAGGGUGAUCGGCCACACUGGAACUGAGACACGGUCCAGACGCCUACGGGAGGCAGCAGUAGGGAAUCUUCAGCAAUGGGCGAAAGACUGACGGAGCAACGCCGCGUGAGUGAUGAAGGUCUUCGGAUCGUAAAACUCUGUUAUUAGGGAAGAACAAAUGUGUAAGUAACUAUGCACGUCUUGACGGUACAUAAUCAGAAAGCCACGGCUAACUAAGUG
rnacentral:rRNA from 1 species